AGGAAGUACUGACCGCCGUGGUGUUACGUACUAUGACCACAUGUUCUUCCGUUACGGGAGUAUAAAUCCCAGCUACUCUCCAGCACAACCAGUUCUGAUCUGAAUUCACAACUCAAGCUACAAGAUGAACAAGUGUCUCGCCCUCAUCCUUAUCCCAUGCCUGGUGGCCUACGUUGUGGCCAUGCAGUACCCGACCGGAUCCGGUUACCCCGGAUACGGAAUGACAGGAGGAUACGGAGGCGGAUACGGUCUGAGUAACUACUACUACAACUACGGAAACCUCCAACAGAAGAAGAGCUCCAACUUCGCUCUCCUGAUCUCUGGUCUCCUGUUGCUGUUCGCCUUCAACAUCACCGGAACUCUGACUGGUUAGACGUAAACCAAGGAGGUGGAGAUCGGCGAGGCACACAUUCAAAUUAUGAUUCGACACGGCGACCAAAAUUUACUGUGAUAUAUUGCGCGAUGUAUUAUGUAGUUGUUACAUUUGUGAAGAUUGUAUUGAUUAAACGUUUAAAUUCUAA